UACGAAGGGGGCUAGCGUUGCUCGGAAUUACUGGGCGUAAAGGGCUCGUAGGCGGCCAACUAAGUCAGACGUGAAAUCCCUCGGCUUAACCGGGGAACUGCAUCUGAUACUGGAUGGCUUGAGUUCGGGAGAGGGAUGCGGAAUUCCAGGUGUAGCGGUGAAAUGCGUAGAUAUCUGGAGGAACACCGGUGGCGAAGGCGGCUCACUGGUCCGGUACUGACGCUGAGGUGCGAAAGCGUGGGGAGCAAACAGG
rnacentral:rRNA from 1 species